GGGAAAGUAGCUCAAUGGUUAGAGUACCACCUUGUCGAGGUGGAUGCUGGGGGUUCGAGUCCCCUCUUUCCCA
rnacentral:tRNA from 1 species